UACAGAGAGUACAAGCGUUGUCCGGAAUUAUUGGGCGUAAAGCGUUUCGCAGGUGUCUAUCUAAGUUACAGUUGAAAGACCGGGGCUCAACCUCGGCAACGGCCGUAAUACUAGAUGGAUUGAGUGGUAUCGGGGCUAUUGGAACUGUCGGUGUAGGGGUGAAAUCCGUUGAUAUCGACAGGAACUCCGAGGGCGUAGGCAGAUAGCUAGGUACCUACUGACACUCAUGAACGAAAGCUCGGGUAGCGAAAGGG
rnacentral:rRNA from 1 species